UAGCGGUAAAAUGCGUAGAGAUUUGAAGGAAUACCGGUGGCGAAGGCGGCCCCCUGGACAAAGACUGACGCUCAGAUGCGAAAGCGUGGGGAGCAAACAGGAUUAGAUACCCUGGUAGUCCACGCCGUAAACGAUGUCUACUUGGAGGUUGGGACCUUGAGUUCUGGCUUUCGGAGCUAACGCGUUAAGUAGACCGCCUGGGGAGUACGGUCGCAAGAUUAAAACUCAAAUGAAUUGACGGGGGCCCGCACAAGCGGUGGAGCAUGUGGUUUAAUUCGAUGCAACGCGAAGAACCUUACCUACUCUUGACAUCCACGGAAUCCUUUAGAGAUAGAGGAGUGCCUUCGGGAACCGUGAGACAGGUGCUGCAUGGCUGUCGUCAGCUCGUGUUGUGAAAUGUUGGGUUAAGUCCCGCAACGAGCGCAACCCUUAUCCUUGUUUGCCAGCACUUCGGGUGGGAACUCCAGGGAGACUGCCGGUGAUAAACCGGAGGAAGGUGGGGACGACGUCAAGUCAUCAUGGCCCUUACGAGUAGGGCUACACACGUGCUACAAUGGCAUAUACAGAGGGCGGCCAGCCAGCGAUGGUGAGCGAAUCCCAGAAAGUAUGUCGUAGUCCGGAUUGGAGUCUGCAACUCGACUCCAUGAAGUCGGAAUCGCUAGUAAUCGUGGAUCAGAAUGCCACGGUGAAUACGUUCCCGGGCCUUGUACACACCGCCCGUCACACCAUGGGAGUGGGCUGCACCAGAAGUAGAUAGCUUAACCUUCGGGAGGGCGUUUACCACGGUGUGUUCAU
rnacentral:rRNA from 1 species